rnacentral:lncRNA from 1 species
GCAAACCAGGCCAAGCCUACACUGACAUGGCCCAUGCUUAAUGUGAGGAAGCAAGAGCCAGAGUAGGUGGUGGGGGCAAGGUGGAUGCAAGGUUCCAGAUGUGUUUUCUUUGCUACCAUAAAUCAUUAAGUGAGAGCUGAUAUGUUACAAAGGAUCAAGGGCAUCAAGCUACAGAUGGUCUUACAAAUGGAACCCCAAAUGAGCUCAACUCACAACUUCUACUGAGGAUUCCUGGAUUGACCCACUGGCCCUUUGACUGGCCUAGGUAGUUCCCCUCUGGAGGACACUACAACUGCAGGGCCCCUUCUUUGCCCCUAUCCAGCAGGAAGUAACUAGAGCAGUCAUCGCCCAAUUCCCAAUAGCAGUUGGGGUGUCCUGUUUAGAGGGGGGAUUGAGAAGUGAAGCCAGCUGGACUUCCUGGGUCGAGUAGGCACUUGGAGAACUUUUCUGUCUUACAAGAGGAUUGUAAAAACGCACCAAUCAGCACUCUGUAGCUAGCAAGGGGAUUGUAAAAUGAGCCAAUCAGUGCUCUGUAAAAAUGCACCAAUCAGUGCUCUGUAGCUAGCAAGAGGAUUGUAAAAUGCACCAAUCAGCACUCAGUAAAAUGUACCAAUCAGCGCUCUGUAAAAUGUACCAAUUAGCAGGAUCCUAAAAGUAGCAAAUCACAGGGAGGAUUGUAAAAAGGGCAUUCUGAUAGGACAGAAACAGAACAUGGGAGGGGACAAAUAGGGAAUAAAAGUAGGCCAUCCCAGCCAGCAG